GAUGAACGCUAGCGGCAGGCCUAACACAUGCAAGUCGAGGGAGAAGCCCUUUCGGGGGCCGAAACCGGCGCACGGGUGCGUAACGCGUAUGCAACCUACCUUUCACAGGGGGAUAGCCCGAAGAAAUUUGGAUUAAUACCCCAUAAUAUUAUUGGAUGGCAUCAUUUGAUAAUUAAAACUGCGGUGGUGAAAGAUGGGCAUGCGUCCUAUUAGCUAGUUGGAGUGGUAACGGCACCCCAAGGCUACGAUAGGUAGGGGUCCUGAGAGGGAGAUCCCCCACACUGGUACUGAGACAGGGACCAGACGCAUACGGGAGGAAGCAGUGAGGAAGAUUGGGAAAUGGUCGGAAGACUGAACCAGCCAUGCCGCGUGCAGGAAGAAUGCCUUAGGGGUUGUAAACUGCUUUUAUAUGGGAAGAAUAAGGCGUACGGGUACGUUGAUGACGGUACAAUAUGAAUAAGCAACGGCUAACCCCGUG
rnacentral:rRNA from 1 species